rnacentral:tRNA from 1 species
UACUCCGUAGCUCAGUGGUUAGAGCAUCCGACCGGUGUACGGAAGGUCAUGGGUUCAAAUCCACGCUCGUGAUAA